rnacentral:rRNA from 1 species
CCACGGGGGGCGCAAGCGUUAUUCGGAAUUAUUGGGCGUAAAGGGCGUGUAGGCGGUUUUAUCGGUCAGAUGUGAAAGCCCAGGGCUCAACCCUGGACGUGCAUUUGAAACAGUAAGACUUGAGUACGGUAGAGGAAAGCGGAAUUCCUGGUGUAGAGGUGAAAUUCGUAGAUAUCAGGAGGAACACCGAUGGCGAAGGCAGCUUUCUGGACCGAAACUGACGCUGAUGCGCGAAGGCGUGGGUAGCGAACAGGAUUAGAAACCCUAGUAGUCC